GAUGAACGCUGGCGGCGUGCCUAAUACAUGCAAGUCGAGCGAACAGACGAGGAGCUUGCUCCUCUGACGUUAGCGGCGGACGGGUGAGUAACACGUGGAUAACCUACCUAUAAGACUGGGAUAACUUCGGGAAACCGGAGCUAAUACCGGAUAAUAUAUUGAACCGCAUGGUUCAAUAGUGAAAGACGGUUUUGCUGUCACUUAUAGAUGGAUCCGCGCCGCAUUAGCUAGUUGGUAAGGUAACGGCUUACCAAGGCAACGAUGCGUAGCCGACCUGAGAGGGUGAUCGGUCACACUGGAACUGAGACACGGUCCAGACUCCUACGGGAGGCAGCAGUAGGGAAUCUUCAGCAAUGGGCGAAAGCUUGACGGAGCAACGCCGCGUGAGUGAUGAAGGUCUUCGGAUCGUAAAACUCUGUUAUUAGGGAAGAACAAAUGUGUAAGUAACUAUGCACGUCUUGACGGUACCUAAUCAGAAAGCCACGGCUAACUACGUG
rnacentral:rRNA from 1 species